rnacentral:lncRNA from 1 species
GGGGCACGGGAACGGGCGAGGCCGCGACGUGCGGCUCCGGGCUGCUCCCCGUCCGCCUCGCCCUCCAAUGAGCAGCGCUGCUGGGCCGGGCUGCGGGCCGGGAGGAAGAUGUGGAGCGGGUUGGGAACGGCGCUCCCAAUGCUGGAGGAUUUCACGCCGCUUUCGCCUUCUCGCCCCUUUCCUCCCCUCCCCCUCGGCUGCUCGGAGCUGUGCUGCCCCGCUGUCGGGUCCCCGUGUUUCCCUUUGGGUUCCUUCCCCGGGGAAGCAGUGGCAUCUUCCUGUCGGUUUUGUCCCGCGGCGGAAAUCCCAGCGUUGUUAUUUGGCAAAAUCUCUCUUUAGAUUGCAUAACUGCUCCAAUUUUCUCCCUCUGACGUUUCCUGUCAUCCUCGGAUUGGGAAGCUCGAAAGGUGGCUCUUCCCCAUCAUUGGCCAUAUGGGUAUCUGCACGUCGACGGGAGUCAUUCGGGACUUUGCGGGGCCGUAUUUUGUCUCAGAAGACAACAUGGCGUUUGGGAAGCCAGUGAAGUACUGGAAGCUGGAUCCUGGCAAAGUGUACUCCAGCAGCCCCAACGCAUGGGACACAGCUGUGCACGACGCCUCGGAGGAGUACAAACACCGAAUGCACAACCUUUGCUGUGAUAACUGCCAUUCUCACGUGGCUCUGGCCUUAAACUUGAUGAGAUACGACAACAGCACCUCCUGGAACAUGGUCAAACUCUGCUUCUUCUCACUCCUCUAUGGGAAGUACGUAAGCAUAGGGGGAUUUGUGAAGACCUGGCUUCCCUUUGUCCUCUUCUUGGGGGCGAUCCUGACGGUUGUUCUGACGCUUCACCUGCGGUGAUAACAGCUGUGAGCUCCCCACCCCGUGGGCACACAAAGGAGGGAACUGUGACUGCUUGACUCAGUGAGACAGGCACGGCAUUCCGGGAGGCAUACUCUGGGAAGGCUGCAAUUCCACUCCACUGUAACAGCUCAUCCUUGUUUCCUGGAACUGCCUUCUUACCCUUCUGUUUCUGUUCUGUCGCUGCUGUGUCUCAGUGCCGGGCUCCCGAAGCCUCCUGACUUCUCCCUUAAUUUGUUCCCUCUGCAAUUUGGCAGUUGGGAAUAGAGAGGUGUGGGCACCUUUGCUUUCAGCACAGGCAGAGCCUCAAGGCAAACCCCGCCUGCUGGUUCAGGAACACCAGUGGUUACACCUCCUGGGGUUCUCUCCCAUCACCUCUUCCUUCCUCCUGCCUCACUUCAUCAGAUGCUUCCUUAGAUUUCCAGCUUCCAAGGAGGGGUUGUGUCCUUCUUGCACGACUCUCCUGUAGCACACGUUUUGGAGUGGAGUUUGGGGCUCCUCCUGGGGGUGUACAUUGCCCAGCACGUGCUGACAGUCCCCAGCAGUGACAGCGAAGUGUUGGUGGCUCAGCACUCCUCUGAGGAGACACACAGAGAAUCGCUCUGUGGCAGAGCAGAUCCAUCUGGUCCUGCUGGUGAGUCCAGAAAAGCAGGAAAGUGGAUGGACUGGCUUGGGUACGGCUCAUAGCAGUCUGCACGCUGUCAGCAGCACGUUGCAGAGCUGGGAGUCUGCUGCCAAAUCCCUUUUAGCUUCUGCCAGAGAAAAUACAGCUUCCCUGCUUCUCCCGGUGCUCUGAGUGCCUGAAGUUGUCAUUGCACUUCUCACAAGCUCCUUAACUUUCCUUUGAGCCUCCAUGCUUUGCAUGUCACAGAAUUCCUGCCUGCAGAGGUGGCAGUGGGUGGGUGCUGCUGGGACAGAAGGCUUGGUGUAGGGCUGUGGUAGCAUCCGUGCCUCCAGAGCAGCACCUGAGCUUUGUGGGGCUGAUGGAGGUUUGAGGAGAGACAGAGGGCCUGGAAGGCAGGCAUGCUCUUGUGGGGCUUUGCAGCAGCAAGCAGGGCACUGGUUUUCCUCUGUCCAACGUGGAGAACAGGAGGUGUGGUGUAUUUUGCACAGCUCACUUGGGGUAAAAGUGCUGUUCUCACAGUGCUGGGAUCUGAUGGCCCUCCUGUGCCCCUGGUCAGGCAGGGUGGGUGCUGGGGAAUAGGAGUGCUGAGCAGGAGGUGGGUUUGGAUGUGGGUCUCUGAGGUGCUGGCCUGCAGGUGCUGCUUUCUGUGGGCUUGCUUUCUGUAAAAGUGUCUCUGGAGGUGAUGUGCCAUUGGCAGAUCCUUUCUGAUGGCUGAGGGAGGGUUAGCUUUUCCACACGUGUCCUGAUAGGCCAGCUCUGUACUCCACUGCCUGCUGCAUUUCAGUCUGGAGGAGUGCUUGUGGCCAGGAGGGAGCUCUUCUUGUCUGCACACCAUCCCUGUGGCUUCCUCUGAUGUGAAAGCCCCUUCCAGGUCCCUGCUGCCUCCCUCUGUGCUUCCCCUCUGCUUCCACCUCUCUGCACUCCCCAGCUGCACAGGGGCUCCCCUUGGGUGUCUAUUUCUGUAUUUCCUCCUCUCCCACGGUCCUGUUUCAAUGUCUCUUCACACCCCUCCCUUCUCCAUGCCCCCCAGCUGUCUGUAUCACCUCAUGCUGGGGGUGUGCAGACCUCAGUGCCCACCCCCACAUCCCCACACCCGGAGGUGUUGCCCACACCCGGAGGUGUUGCUGUCUCUGUGCUCUGUCACCUCCUGCCCAGUGCAGAGCAGGCUGCAGGGCCGAGAUCUCCAUCAGAGAGAACCUGACAAGGGAAGCGUGGAGCCUUGCUGAGCUGCCCUGCCUGGCUGUGAGCCGAUGUGCCCCAGGUGGAUGGGAGAAAUGAGUCCCAACGUGCCCCAAUUCUGAAUGGAAGUCUGAGACCCUCCAAGGAUGUGCCAGGAGCCGUGGGGCUGAAGCCAACCAACCCAUCUUAUCAGUAGCAAUAACCUAGAGACUCAUAGGGCUGUGUCCCCAUGUGUUAGAGAUAAGCUGUACGAGCAUUGCCAAAGCUGAGGCUUGGAGCUGCUGGGGGAGGCUGGGGUCCCCACUCUGGGAUCCCUGACAAUGUCCAGUGCCAUUCCCAGUGCUUUUGUACCAAAUCUGAGUUUUGAACAGAGACUCUUCCCCUGCAGCAGCAGCAGAGCCCUGCCGUCUGUUGGGCUGAAAUGAAGCAGAGGUCCCACAGAGCUGCCCCAGCCCUCACCGAGCACACAGAGCCAUCUUUGCCAUGGAAGAGAAGGGACAGAACGCAGCCUGCAAGCUGGGAUGUGGGCACGGUGCUGGACUCACAUUUAUAGCUUUAGCACAUUGCUGGUGUGACAUAAAGCCACGUGAGUGCAGGCAGACCCACUGCUGUGUCCCCAAGGCUGGGAGGUGACAGAGGGGCGAGCAGACAGGGGAUGUGCAUCCUUCAGCAUCCCCCAUCUCCCUGCCUGCUCCUUCACUGUGCCCCCAGCCCUCGGCCACAAAGGUUGGCUCUGUCCCUUUCCUUCCAGUUUUACCCUCCCCUCCUUUCCCCCUGCUGCAGAGCUCUGUGGCUUUGCUGCUGCUCUUUGGCGGGGGCCAUCCCUCCAUCUCCCCUUCCUUUGUUCCCUUGAUCUCUGUGGGGCGCUGGAUUACUUUGUAAAUAUUUCAACUCUGCUUCUGUGGUUUCAUAAUCCUGAUGGUAGGGGAAAUAAACUUCUGUGGAUGUCUCCA